rnacentral:hammerhead_ribozyme from 1 species
AUCCAUCCGACAAGUUUGAAAUAGGACGAAACGCAUGUCCUGGAU